GAUGAAGAACGCAGUGAAAUGCGAUAAGUAAUGUGAAUUGCAGAAUUCAGUGAAUCAUCGAAUCUUUGAACGCACCUUGCGCCCUUUGGCCAUUCCGAAGGGCAUGCCUGUUUGAGUAUCAUGAACACCUCAACUCCUCAUGGUCUUCUAUGAUGAGCUUGGACUUUGGGGGCUUGCUGGCCCAUUUGGUCAGCUCCUCUCAAAUGAAUCAGCCUACCAGUGUUUGGUGGCACCACAGGUGUGAUAACAAUCUACGCUUGAGGUUUUCCACCAGGCAACCUUCAGUAAUUGGGGUUCACUGGGGCUCACAAAUGUCUUUCUUCAGUGAGGACAGCUCUUUGAAUGUUUGAUCUCCAAUCAGGUAGGACUACCCGCUGAACUUAAGCAUAUCAAUAAGCGGAGGA
rnacentral:misc_RNA from 1 species